GGUGAACGCUAGCUACAGGCUUAACACAUGCAAGUCGAGGGGAAACGACAUCGAAAGCUUGCUUUUGAUGGGCGUCGACCGGCGCACGGGUGAGUAACGCGUAUCCAACCUGCCCACCACUUGGGGAUAACCUUGCGAAAGUAAGACUAAUACCCAAUGACGUCUCUAGAAGACAUCUGAAAGAGAUUAAAGAUUUAUCGGUGAUGGAUGGGGAUGCGUCUGAUUAGCUUGUUGGCGGGGUAACGGCCCACCAAGGCGACGAUCAGUAGGGGUUCUGAGAGGAAGGUCCCCCACAUUGGAACUGAGACACGGUCCAAACUCCUACGGGAGGCAGCAGUGAGGAAUAUUGGUCAAUGGACGAGAGUCUGAACCAGCCAAGUAGCGUGCAGGAUGACGGCCCUAUGGGUUGUAAACUGCUUUUAUAAGGGAAUAAAGUGAGUCUCGGGAGACUUUUUGCAUGUACCUUAUGAAUAAGGACCGGCUAAUUCCGUG
rnacentral:rRNA from 1 species